UGGCAGACUGAAGUGCUGGGUAUGUGUGUAAAAAAAAACUCCUUAAAUGCAGUGUGCCUUCUAUCCCAGAGAACUAUUCUGUCCUGAAAGUAUGUUCAUGGGUGUUUGUAGACCUUGACUAAUGCCUAUAAAAUGGAAUCCAGUCUUGAUCUGCUGUCCAGAAGGUGGAACUAAGCUUCCUUCAGCCUUUUCUUCAGUCCAGUGACUGGUGUCAUUUAGGGGUUGAGGGGGUUAAAGCUACUUUUGACCUGGUUUCUCUCUCACACAUGUGUGCUGCACGCACAUAUGUCACCCCUGGGGUCUAUCCUGCUGAGGCAGUGCCAGGAUGUGUAUGCCAGAGUGUUGGAGGGAGAAAAGCAGGAAUGCUGAUCUUGUUCUCACCCCACGAGUUGUGGAAAUACUGCGUGGCUUCCAGUCUCGGUGCCAUCCUGUUGAGCUCUGCCAACUGAGAAGACAGCCCCGUCCUUACCCCCUUGAAGAUUCCCAAAAUGCCACACCAAGCUGUGUCAACCCAGCAGAGCAGCCAGGAUGGCCAGAGAGGAGGACACUGAAGCACAGUGAGCUCAGCUCACGUCUGGUGUGAGCUGUGCUGAGUCAGAAGGAAGCACAUCCCUCUGCAGAGCCCAGGAUUCUGCCCCAGAGGCUUCCAUAAACAAUGACCCACUUGAGACAAGAAGCCAGACAAAGGCCAGUUUUCAGGGCUCUUCCAAUGUUCUGCCGGUCCCGGAGUGUUGAGCCACGUCGAACUUUGACCCACAACCCCUCCUCACCUCACCCCAGACUUUGUUUUCUAAGAUGACCUCUGGUUCCCAUAGCGCCUCCUAUCCCUCAUAUUCUGGGUGACCAGGAACAGAGGAGCAGGUGAUUCAUUCCCAUUCACAGAACGUGCUGUGUUUCCAAAAAUGCUUUUGUAAAAGGAUGCAUACAGCAUGUGAAGUAAUGUAUGCAAUGUCUGUUCAUCUGUUUGCAGUGUAAUAUACACCAUAUACACCAUAUACACCAGAAAUUUGGGCCCAGUUUGUAUAACUGGUAUACACACUAACAUUAAAAAGAUUAGGGUCAUUUAGAAAUGUCUGUUUUUCAUGAAAAAUUGGUUAGAAUGGAUAUGUGUUGUGAUCAACUUGAUGUUUGACAAUUUUUUUUUCAAAACUGAGGAUAUUUCUAAAUGAUCCUAAACUUUUGAACUAUUAUAUAUAUAAAAUAUACACUUCCCUUUUCAAAAUUAUGAAUGACUGGUGUUGACGUGAAAUCAUUUUCAGCUACAUAUAUGUGUGUGUGUGUGUGUGUGUGUGUGUGUGUGUGUGUGUGUGUGUGUGUGUGUGUGUGUAUAUAUAUAUAUAUAUAUAUAUAUAUAUAUAUAUAUAUAUAAAUGUCUGUAUGUAAAAUAAUAUACAAUGUUAGAUGUAAAGAUGAAAGAUA
rnacentral:lncRNA from 1 species